rnacentral:rRNA from 1 species
UACGGAGGGUGCGAGCGUUGUCCGGAAUCACUGGGCGUAAAGGGCGCGUAGGCGGCGCGGGGAGUCAACGGUGAAAGCUCGGCGCUCAACGCCGAGUCGGCCGUCGAUACUCCCGUGCUCGAGCACUGUAGAGGCAGGUGGAAUUCCGGGUGUAGCGGUGGAAUGCGUAGAGAUCCGGAAGAACACCGGUGGCGAAGGCGGCCUGCUGGGCAGUAGCUGACGCUGAGGCGCGACAGCGUGGGGAGCAGACAGG